AUGUAAGGAAAGUUGGCACACUAUAUUGAGACCUAAAUCGCUGAGUCGCUUCGAGUCAUUGAGUUGCGCUCAGAAACGAUCCAACGACACUUCUUCUAAAAUCACCAUGACUUCCUCCGAUACUCAAGUUGUUAUUAGAACGAAAAAAAAAAAAGAUCUAAUGGUUCAAGAAAUAACAGCACGAUGUGACAACGUUUCUUAUUUGAACAAAACCAUCAAUGAUAAAGAUAAAGAAACUCCUAAUAUUGACGAAUGUGACGAAUUAUAUUCGAGAAAUAAAUUCGGAAAGAAAAAACGUAAAAAAUCAAAAAUAGUUAAAUGUGAGUGUCCGGCAGAAGAAAAGGAAAUAGCAUUGAAUUACAAAACGGACACGGUUACGCAAUAUGAUCCCAACAUAAAUACUGAGGAAAAACCUCUCAAAAACACUACUGGAACUAAUGUUGCUAGUAAAUCAGAUGUUUUCAAUAAAUCAACUGAAUUGGUGACACCUACUGCGACUAAAAACUCGUAUGCAGCCAGAUCCAAAGAGACCAUAGUAUUGGGAAAGAAAAAUACAGACUCUAAGAUCGAUAUUAAACGAGAAUGUCCGGCAGGAUCAAACGAAUCAGAUAACCAUUACAAACAGGACAUGAGCAUACAACACUAUCAAAAUAAAUAUGUUAAAGAAAUUAAUCCUGUCAAAAAUAGUACCACUCC